rnacentral:lncRNA from 1 species
CCUUUGGAUCUGGCUCCUGUUCCAUCCUCUACUGGGCUGUGACAACUCAGGGUCCCUGUGGUCCUCCAGAGUCAGCUCCUGAGAACGAGCAGUGCUGAAAGAGAAUGGACCCCUCCCCCCUUCACUCACCGCACAGACUUCACUGGAAAUAAAGAGAUUGGCAUUUAUGUGCUGUGAUGUCAGAGAGAGAGAUCACAAGUGGGCAGAGAGAGGAAGGGAAGCAGUCU